rnacentral:rRNA from 1 species
GAUGAACGCUGGCGGCGUGCUUAACACAUGCAAGUCGAACGGAAAGGCUCCUGCCUGCAGGGGUACUCGAGUGGCGAACGGGUGAGUAACACGUGGGUGAUCUGCCCUGUACUUCGGGAUAAGCUUGGGAAACUGGGUCUAAUACCGGAUAUGACAAUCUCUUGGAUGGGGUUGUGGAAAGCUUUUGCGGUAUGGGAUGAGCUCGCGGCCUAUCAGCUUGUUGGUGGGGUAAUGGCCUACCAAGGCGUCGACGGGUAGCCGGCCUGAGAGGGUGUACGGCCACAUUGGGACUGAGAUACGGCCCAGACUCCUACGGGAGGCAGCAGUGGGGAAUAUUGCACAAUGGGCGCAAGCCUGAUGCAGCGACGCCGCGUGGGGGAUGACGGCCUUCGGGUUGUAAACUCCUUUCGCAACCGACGAAGCUUUUGUGACGGUAGGUCGAGAAGAAGCACCGGCUAACUACGUG